UACGUAGGGACCAAGCGUUGUUCGGAUUUACUGGGCGUAAAGGGCGCGUAGGCGGAUCGUUAAGUCGGGGGUGAAAUCCUGGAGCUCAACUCCAGAACUGCCUUUGAUACUGAGGAUCUUGAGUACGGGAGAGGUGAGUGGAACUGCGAGUGUAGAGGUGAAAUUCGUAGAUAUUCGCAAGAACACCAGUGGCGAAGGCGGCUCACUGGCCCGUAACUGACGCUGAGGCACGAAAGCGUGGGGAGCAAACAGG
rnacentral:rRNA from 1 species